ensembl:lncRNA
AGGGCUUAUCAGAAGACCAGUUUCAGUUAAUUGAUUAGAUCAAUAAAUUAAUAAGAUAGAUAAGAUAAAUAGAUAAAUAAAUAGGGUUUGUUUUAAAAUAAUCUUCCAUAAUAUGAAUAGGAUUUAUGAUUGAAAUACUAAAUAUGUCAAUAAAAAGAUUAAUAUACAUAAGGUUAUUUAUAUCGGUUUAAAAAUAAUAUUUUGUUCAUUUCAAAUGUGGCGAAUGUGCCCUUCUCAAAAUGUACAAGAUUCGGGUGACAUGAGGAGUUCACGUAAGACAACGUAGCGUAGCCAAUCAGACACCGUCAAGGUGUACGUGCCGUUUUCUCUCUCUCUCUAUGCCGGACCGUUGUCGAGGUGGCGGCAUGCAAACUUUCUCUUGAAGGAAAUUAUUGUUGCGAGAGCCAGAUAUAUCCCAACGUUUGAAUAAUUAUCGGAGGCGCAGAGAGCAAAUUUUUUUGUUGUUGCUUUGGUUGAUUAGUGGACCUUGUUUGUGACGGAAACGAAGGAGAACCGGAACCUGGACUGAUGAGAGCAGUGUAUUCUGCCUUGUACCGGAGUGUAUGUGUAUAUGUGAUGUUUGAGCCUCUGGCCGGGUCUUUUUGCUUGUAUGGAUUCCUGGUGAGAUCUGCAUGAAGAUUCUUCUCCCGCUGGGAUUUCUCCCAUCUCUGUAGAGGUAGUGGGGAACCUCAGUGGUAGUGGCGAGCUACCCAAACGAAGGACUGUUAUUUUGUUACCAAU